rnacentral:rRNA from 1 species
UACGUAGGGACCGAGCGUUGUCCGGAUUCAUUGGGCGUAAAGAGCUCGUAGGCGGCUGUUCAAGUCGAACGUGAAAACUCGGAGCUCAACUCCGAGCCUGCGUUCGAUACUGGACGGCUAGAGUCUGGUAGGGGGAUCUGGAAUUCCUGGUGUAGCGGUGAAAUGCGCAGAUAUCAGGAGGAACACCGGUGGCGAAGGCGGGUCUCUGGGCCGAAAUUGACGCUGAGGAGCGAAAGCGUGGGGAGCAAACAGG